ensembl:lncRNA LINC01254 long intergenic non-protein coding RNA 1254
GGGCGAGUACCAGCAGAAGCCGCCUGGACAGCAACCGGAAGUGCGGUGGCUCUGGUGGGCGUGGUGGCUGAGUACCAGCAGAAGCCGCGUGGACAGCAACCGGAAGUGCCGUGGCUCUGGACUCUGGGCUGUCGUAGCCAAACACGCCUUCUUGGCCGAGUGGUGGCAUUCUGCCUGCCCCCUGUGGGCAUCAUUGAGAUUCUGCUCCCCAGCUUCCGCAGUGCUCCGUUUUGUGAUGGAAAGUCAGCAUCCCUUGCCUUAGGAGAAACCCAGGUAUCUGGUGAUGGAAGAACUUUUGAGGGAAGCUUGAGACUGGCCAGUCCACACUCUGCUUAACCAAGGGAAGGGCACCACUUCUACCACCAGGAGAUACCUGCUGUGGGACACAGUGCUGCUCCAGCCAUGCAGAAGCUCACACAGGCCUGCAGCAGUUAUUCAUCCGUGCACAGCUGCCACUGGCCAGCAGAGCCUGUGACGGGGCCUUCACAGGUAAUUCCCAAGAUCAAAACAGCCUCUUGUACUUAAAAUAAUUGCUUUGCCACCAUUUCCAAGAUGCUGCAGAGUGCUUCUGAAUUCUGUUCAUUUCAAAGAACCCACUUCCUCUAUUUGAAAAACGGGUAUUUUAAUGUCUGCCAGGCCACAAUUCCAUGAGGCAUGAUGGUGUGCAGAAUGUUCUGGAGAUUUCCAUAAGAAAGAUCUCUAAGGGCCAGAACUGACUAAAGUCAUGUAGGCCACCUCUAAAAGAGGCAAGGCUCAAAGAUAAAUACUAGCAUCAAAAGAGAGGUCCUUUGGUGUGAUAUGCCCCAUGUCAUUCAGCUUUGUUGUGGCCAGUCAUCGUUGGUGGCAGCUGACUGGUGGCAGAAUCACACCCACUGUGUGAUUCUCUGCAGAAGGCUGGUGAUUUGAGGAUGGACAGGAAGUUCUGAACUCAGGAAUACCAUGCAUUUUCACAAGCGUUUUCACUUUGCCUUAAGAUUUGUAGAAGAGUUAAGUUGGGAUCCCAUCAUCAGCAAAACCUAACACCACCAUCCUGAGAUAAGCUAAGAAAAGCUAAGAAAAAGAUAAGCUGAGAAAAGCUAAGGAAAGAUUUGUCAACCUUUCUUCUAGAUCAGAACAGCAAACGUGAUGCAGGAUUUCCUGAGGUUGGGACCGGACCGAAACGUUUUCCAUCUUCUAUUUUUGUUUACUCAGCUUCAACUGCCACCUUUUAUGCUAUCCUGGGGGCAAGGGGGCACCCAUGUGAAUGAGAGAUACUGGAUUUGGCCAAGAUCAUUAGGCAAGGGUGCCGUUCCCACACAGUAAUGCCUUGCAGGCACAAGGAUGGAAAAUUAUGCCAGGAAUGCGAUACCGCCAAGCCUGAACACAGAGAGGACACGACGUUGGCACAGGCCUGUUGGGUCUUGACUUCAGCCUGCAGAGGAGCUGGAGGAGGCUGGCAGACUCUGCUCACAAAUGGGAAGGCCCAGCUGCCAAUGGCUUUUCCUCUCUGCCCAUGUAACACUUUUUGUGGGGAAUGUGUGGACACAGCUUGAGGCUUUGUAUCCACCCUGUCAGUUGGUGAGAUAGAGAAGAGAUGGGCUGAUGGUUAUUGAGGCACUACUGCUCAGAUGGGGCAUUGUUGGAGCCCAUAGAUGGGGCAUUGUUGGAGUUGUAAUGAGAGAAGUUGCUAGUGGCCCCUGGAGCAAGACACCUGGAGCUUCUAUUCAGCUUGCUCUUCUUCAACAUCCAUGCUUCUGUAAGAUGAGAUUUGCACGGUGCUUUUAUUUAUAUAUUUUAUUAUUAUUAUUUUGAGAUAAGGUCUUGCUCUGUCACCCAAGCUAGAGUGCAGUGGCAUAACCAUCGCUCACUGCAGCAUUGACCUCCCUGGCCCAAGCAAUCCUCCCAACUCAGCCCCCUGAGUAGCUGGGACUACAGGCACACACCAUCAUGCCCAGCUAAUUUUUAAAUUUUUGUAGAGUUGGGAUCUCACUCUGCUGCCCAGGCUGGCCUUAAACUCCUGGACUGAAGUGAUCCUCUUGCCUCAGCCUCCCAAAGUGCUAGGAUUACAGUCAUGAGCCAGCAUGCCCACCCACAUCAUCCUUUUAGAGUGACAAAUUCGGGCUGGCUCGGUGGCUCAUGCCUGUAAUCCCAGCAUUUUGGGAGGCCGAGGCAGGUGGAUCACCUGAGGUCAGGAGUUCAAGACCAGCCUGGCCAACAUGGUGAAACCCUGUUUCUGAUAAAAAUACAAAAAUUAGCUGGAUGUGGUGGUGGGCAUCUGUAAUCCCAGCUACUUGGGAGGCUGAGGCAGGAGAAUCACUUGAACCCAGGAGGCAAAAGUUGCAGUGAGCCAAGAUCGUGCCACUGUACUCCAACCUGGGCAACAGAGGGAGACUCUGUCUCAAAAGAAUAAAAAAUAAAAAAAAGUUAAGAAGGACAAAUUCAAAUAGGUCUAGGGGAGAGGCAGAAAAGCUGCUUUAUGUUAGGACCUGGCUUGUAUGAGAGGGAACAAUAACUGCAAAUGUGGAAAACUGGUAGGGAGAAAGGGGAUGAGACUGAUUUUGUAUCACUCUAAAUGGUAACUACGCUGACAAAUGGAAAUAUCGAAGGAAAGUUUCCACUCAAUAGAAAUGAAGUGUUUUCCAAUAAUUAGAAUGGUGGAAAAAAAAAAGUGGCUCCAGGUGAGAACACCCAGAGUUCAAAUUCCAGGUUUGUGACUGACCACCUCUGUGACCACAGGCACAUUAGACAAUGACUCUGAGCAUGUUUUCUCAUCUGCAAAACACAUAUGUUUUUGACGAUUUCUUAUUGAUCACCAACUACAUGCCAUGUUCUAGAGACCAUGUUCCACCCAAGAGUUGGAAAAAAAGGGGUAAAUAAGUCCUGCAGUUUGCCUUCUAGGUGGGAAGAAAGAAUAAAGAAUGAAGUGAAA